AUUGAACGCUGGCGGCAGGCCUAACACAUGCAAGUCGAGCGGAUGAAGGGAGCUUGCUCCUGGAUUCAGCGGCGGACGGGUGAGUAAUGCCUAGGAAUCUGCCUGGUAGUGGGGGAUAACGUCCGGAAAUGGGCGCUAAUACCGCAUACGUCCUGAGGGAGAAAGUGGGGGAUCUUCGGACCUCACGCUAUCAGAUGAGCCUAGGUCGGAUUAGCUAGUUGGUGGGGUAAAGGCCUACCAAGGCGACGAUCCGUAACUGGUCUGAGAGGAUGAUCAGUCACACUGGAACUGAGACACGGUCCAGACUCCUACGGGAGGCAGCAGUGGGGAAUAUUGGACAAUGGGCGAAAGCCUGAUCCAGCCAUGCCGCGUGUGUGAAGAAGGUCUUCGGAUUGUAAAGCACUUUAAGUUGGGAGGAAGGGCAGUAAGUUAAUACCUUGCUGCUUUGACGUUACCAACAGAAUAAGCACCGGCUAACUUCGUG
rnacentral:rRNA from 1 species